CCCGAGGAUGGGACUGCGGCCUAUCAGGCUGUUGGCGGUGUAACGGACCACCAAACCUACAACGGGUACGGGCGAUGGGAGUCGGAGCCCGGAGAUGGGGACUGAGACAAGGCCCCAGGCCCUACGGGGCGCAGCAGGUACGAAAACUCCGCAAUGCGCGAAAGCGUGACGGGGGAACCCCAAGUGCCGUUGGUCUUUGAUCGACGGCUUUUAGGGAGUCUAAGAAGCUCCCGGAAUAAGGGCUGGGCAAGUCGGGUGCCAGCCGCCGCGGUAAUACCCGCAGCCCAAGUAGUGGUCGCGAUUAUUGGGCCUAAAGCGCUCGUAGCCGGGUCAUCAAGUCCCUUGUGAAAUCGGGCGGCCUAACCGUUCGGCUUGCAAGGGAUACUGUUGGUCUUGAGGCCGGGAGACGUCUGAGGUACUCCGGGGGUAGCGGUAAAAUGCUGUAAUCCUCGGGGGACCACCAGUGGCGAAGGCGUCAGACGAGAACGGACCUGACGGUGAGGGGCGAAGGCUAGGGGAGCGAACGGGAUUAAAUACCCCGGUAGUCCUAGCUGUAAAGCAU
rnacentral:rRNA from 1 species